rnacentral:rRNA from 1 species
UUAGAGUUUGAUCCUGGCUCAGGACGAACGCUGGCGGCGCGCCUAACACAUGCAAGUCGAACGAGCGAGAGAGAGCUUGCUUUCUCGAGCGAGUGGCGAACGGGUGAGUAACGCGUGAGGAACCUGCCUCAAAGGGGGGGACAACAGUUGGAAACGACUGCUAAUACCGCAUAAGCCCACGGUGCCGCAUGGUACAGAGGGAAAAGGAGCAAUCCGCUUUGAGAUGGCCUCGCGUCCGAUUAGCUAGUUGGUGAGGUAACGGCCCACCAAGGCGACGAUCGGUAGCCGGACUGAGAGGUUGAACGGCCACAUUGGGACUGAGACACGGCCCAGACUCCUACGGGAGGCAGCAGUGGGGAAUAUUGCACAAUGGGGGAAACCCUGAUGCAGCGACGCCGCGUGGAGGAAGAAGGUCUUCGGAUUGUAAACUCCUGUUGUUGGGGAAGAUAAUGACGGUACCCAACAAGGAAGUGACGGCUAACUACGUGCCAGCAGCCGCGGUAAAACGUAGGUCACAAGCGUUGUCCGGAAUUACUGGGUGUAAAGGGAGCGCAGGCGGGAAGACAAGUUGGAAGUGAAAUCUAUGGGCUCAACCCAUAAACUGCUUUCAAAACUGUUUUUCUUGAGUAGUGCAGAGGUAGGCGGAAUUCCCGGUGUAGCGGUGGAAUGCGUAGAUAUCGGGAGGAACACCAGUGGCGAAGGCGGCCUACUGGGCACCAACUGACGCUGAGGCUCGAAAGUGUGGGUAGCAAACAGGAUUAGAUACCCUGGUAGUCCACACCGUAAACGAUGAUUACUAGGUGUUGGAGGAUUGACCCCUUCAGUGCCGCAGUUAACACAAUAAGUAAUCCACCUGGGGAGUACGACCGCAAGGUUG